rnacentral:rRNA from 1 species
UACGGGGGGGGCAAGCGUUGUUCGGAAUUACUGGGCGUAAAGGGCUCGUAGGCGGCCAACUAAGUCAUACGUGAAAUCCCUCGGCUUAACCGGGGAACUGCGUCUGAUACUGGAUGGCUUGAGAUUGGGAGAGGGAUGCGGAAUUCCAGGUGUAGCGGUGAAAUGCGUAGAUAUCUGGAGGAACACCGGUGGCGAAGGCGGCAUCCUGGACCAACACUGACGCUGAGGAGCGAAAGCCAGGGGAGCGAACAGG